CAGGUCUAGCUGCAGCAGUCAGGGGCUGAGCUGGUGAAGCCUGAUGGCUCUGUGAAGAUGUCAUGCAAGGCUUCUGGUUAUACAUUUACUGAAUACCACAUGCUCUAGUCAAGCAGAAUCAUGGAAAGACCCUUGAAUGGAUUUUCAAUAUUAAUACUUAAAAUGGUGGUAUAACUACAGUGAAAAUUUCAAGGGCAAGGGUACAUUAACUGUAGACAAAUCCUCCAGCACACCCUAUUUGUUGCUUAGCAAAUUGACAUCUGAGGAUUCUGUGGUCUAUUACUGUGCAAGAU